rnacentral:rRNA from 1 species
AAUGAACGCUGGCGGCAGGCCUAACACAUGCAAGUCGAACGGAUCCUUCGGGAUUAGUGCCGGACGGGUGAGUAACGCGUGGGAACGUGCCCUUUGGUUCGGAAUAGCCUCGGGAAACUGGGAGUAAUACCGGAUAAGCCCUUCGGGGGAAAGAUUUAUCGCCAAAGGAUCGGCCCGCGUUGGACUAGGUAGUUGGUGGGGGAAUGGGCUACCAAGCCGCCGAGCCAUAGCUGGUUUGAGAGGAUGAUCAGCCACACUGGGACUGAGACACGGCCCAGACUCCUACGGGAGGCAGCAGUGGGGAAUCUUAGACAAUGGGGGAAACCCUGAUCUAGCCAUGCCGCGUGAUCGAUGAAGGCCUUAGGGUUGUAAAGAUCUUUCAGUUGUGAAGAUAAUGACGGUACCAACAGAAGAAGCCCCGGCUAACUCCGUGCCAGCCGCCGCGGUAAGAC